rnacentral:tRNA from 1 species
GGGCGUAGCUCAGUUGGUAGAGCGCUAGCUUCCCAAGCUGGAUGUCGACGGUUCGAGUCCGUUCGCC